rnacentral:sRNA from 1 species
ACGAAUGGUCGGAGCCAGUAUCAGGGAAGCCCUCUUCCCCUACCACCACCAACUGGGGGCCCAUAGGGCACUCGGCAGCCUCCAGCCCUGCGGUAGCAGCCUGUAACUCCGACGCGGCGGCCGCAGCGGCUGCGCCCUCUGCGGCUGCAAACUCCACUUGCACUGUAAGAUCGAUGGGCUUCACGUCUUCUCCAGUGGGAGUGAUGGGCGCCGGCGGCACGGAUUCCGGAGCCUGACUGCUGUCUACAGCGGCCUGAAGGAUGGAGUCUUGCUUAGUUGCCGAAGCUGGAGUAUUGUGGCUCGAUCUCAGCUCUGCAACCUCUGCCUCCCAGGGUUCAAGCAAUUCUCCUGUCUCAGUUUCCAGAGUAGCUAGAAUUAUAGUGCAGAUUCUGGGAAAGCGAACUCCACGGAAGACUCAGAAACCAAGUUCUAAUUCAGUUGCCAUGAAAACUUAAGGUGAGGGGAUUGUCAAUCAGUGAAAAAUACGGAGGAAAACACUAACAGAAUAUGAUGAAGAAGCCAACACUUGGGCUGCUUGCAUUACAUUAACCGAGGUUUACCCGCAGCGAGGCUGCCUCCAAAGCAG